rnacentral:tRNA from 1 species
GUUCCUGUAGCGCAAGAUAUAGUGCGUUGGACUUCCAAUCCAAAGAUUGUGGGUUCGAAUCCCACCUGGGAUG